UGUUUAGGGGGACAGCGUCUACCCCGUUCCCAUCCCGAACACGGUAGUUAAGCUUCUCUGCGCCAAUGGUAGUUGGGGGCUUCCCCCUGCGAGAGUAGGUCGCUGCCGGGC
rnacentral:rRNA from 1 species